rnacentral:piRNA from 1 species
UGUAGGCACACUGUAGGCAC